CAAACUUGAUGGUGUUUAUGACGUCGAAUAUCGUCGUCAUAAACACCAAAGUUGAUCGUGUUUAUGACGUCGAUAUUCGACGUCAUAAACACUUUCA
rnacentral:miRNA from 1 species